rnacentral:rRNA from 1 species
GCGAACGCUGGCGGCAGGCCUAACACAUGCCGGUCGAACGAACCUUUCGGGGUUAGUGGCGGACGGGUGAGUAACACGUGGGAACGUGCCUUUAGGUUCGGAAUAACUCAGGGAAACUUGUGCUAAUACCGAAUGUGCCCUUCGGGGGAAAGAUUUAUCGCCUUUAGAGCGGCCCGCGUCUGAUUAGCUAGUUGGUUGAGGUAAUGGCUCACCAAGGCGACGAUCAGUAGCUGGUCUGAGAGGAUGAUCAGCCACAUUGGGACUGAGACACGGCCCAAACUCCUACGGGAGGCAGCAGUGGGGAAUCUUGCGCAAUGGGCGAAAGCCUGACGCAGCCAUGCCGCGUGAAUGAUGAAGGUCUUAGGAUUGUAAAAUUCUUUCACCGGGGACGAUAAUGACGGUACCCGGAGAAGAAGCCCCGGCUAACUUCGUG